rnacentral:rRNA from 1 species
ACGCUGAAGAGAGGAGCUUGCUCUUCUUGGAUGAAUAGCGACCGGGUGAAUAACGCGUUCGUAACCUGCCCCUGGAGCGGGGGAUAACUAUUUGGAAACGAUAGCUAAUACCGCAUAACAACGGAUGACACAUGUCAUUUAUUUGAAAGGGGCAAUUGCUCCACUACAAGAUGGACCUGCGAUGUAUUAGCUAGUAGGUGAGGUAAU